rnacentral:rRNA from 1 species
UGGGGAAUUUUCCGCAAUGGGCGAAAGCCUGACGGAGUGACGCCGCGUGUGGGACGAAGGCCUUCGGGUCGUAAACCACUGUCAGUGGGAAAGAUGGGUGUCGGUGCUAAUACCAUCGGCAUCUGACGGUACCUGCAGAGGAAGCCCCGGCCAACUCUGUGCCAGCAGCCGCGGUAAGACAGAGGGGGCAAGCGUUGCUCGGAAUUACUGGGCGUAAAGGGCGCGUAGGCGGGAUGGCAAGUCGGUCGUGAAAUCCCUCGGCUCAACCGAGGAACGUCGAUCGAUACUGCUGUUCUUGAGGGUUGCAGAGGAGACUGGAAUUCCCGGUGUAGCGGUGAAAUGUGUAGAGAUCGGGAGGAACACCGGUGGCGAAGGCGGGUCUCUGGGCAAUUCCUGACGCUGAGGCGCGAAAGCGUGGGGAGCAA